AUUGAACGCUGGCGGCAGGCCUAACACAUGCAAGUCGAGCGAGCGGCGGACGGGUGAGUAAUGCCUGGGAAUUGCCCAGUCGAGGGGGAUAACAGUUGGAAACGACUGCUAAUACCGCAUACGAAUGUAUUGCCGAGGUGGGAUUCGCUAGUUGGUGGUGUAAUGGCUCACCAAGGCCACGAUCCCUAGCUGGUCUGAGAGGAUGAUAAGCCAAACUGUAACGGAGACACGGUCCAGACUCCUACGGGAGGCAGCAGUGGGGAAUAUUGCACAAUGGGGGAAACCCUGAUGCAGCCAUGCCGCGUGUGUGAAGAAGGUCUUCGGGUUGUAAAGCACUUUCAGCGAGGAGGCGUUACUCGCAGAAGAAGCACCGGCUAACUCCGUGCCAGCAGCCGCGGUAAUUC
rnacentral:rRNA from 1 species